AGUAUAACCACCCUGAAUGUUGGCGCGAGCUGCUAUGUGUUUCAUCUACAUACCAUUUGAAACAUUGUGGCACACUUCUGACAAUAAAGAAGGGAAGAACCCAAAUGAUUACUAACUGUUUGAAGUAUCUUCAGUGUACAGGGACGAACUAUGCUGUGGAAUUCGCCUGGAGUAUGAAAGUAAAAAUACUGCAGUGACUACUGAAAUUGGCUUCUCCAUGGUACUUGAGCAACCAGAGCCAUCACACACUUCUAGACAUUUGCAAGCGUCUGCUAAGCAUAACAUACAACAGACAAGGGACUACACUUGAGCAAUAAGAAUAAAGAUGUUGAGGUGGAUCAAGCGGCAAUGGCAGUUCAAAAGGAAAAUGAAUCUCAAAAUGUUGAGCUGACUAGAGUUUGUGAUAGCCCAUCAAGGAAAUGGACGAUGCUUCAAGAAAGAGAAAGAGAAAAAGAAAGAGAAAUAGAAACAAACAGAGAAAGAUAGGAGGGACAUAUGAGACUAGCUGCUCUCAUUUCACCAACAAGCACGCAUGAUUUUGAUUGGAUCUUAAGAAAGCUCUUCCUUUGCUAGCAAAAAUUUGUCACUGAAAGGAGAAAAUCGAGGAAGCAUCUAUCCAAUCAGAUAUUCAAAACAAAGAAGGUGUAAUGAGGGAGCAAUUACUCAAACAUCAAAGCCAAGUGCAAGUAAGUUUGAGAAUUGGUGAAUUGAGACGGUUUUAAUCUGGAGACAUGGAAUCAUACAUAAUGGUGACUUUUCGUUUCGUUCUUAGAGACCCUGAUUGGGUAUGUCUCUACUCCUCUUGUCUGUUUUCCUGAUUGGCUAUGUCUUUCACUUUCCUCAGUUUCAUGUGAUCGAUAAAACUGAGUCUAAUUGAAUCCGUUGAACAAAGGUUGCAUCCUCCUCUGCUAGUAUUCAUUCGAAUUAUACCUUUACUAGUUAUUCCUAUGGAUAAUCAUGAAGUCUUUAAACUAUCAGGGGACGUAUUGUUUGAAGUAUAAGAAAUUUUAGUGUCUGUAUAAAAUUCCUUAUUACUUGAACGUUCGUUUUUCGUAUAAAACCUACAUAACUAAUAUGAUCUCCGUAUAAUUAAUGCAUUGUUUGGCAUUUGGUAUUAACCUUUGGAUAACUUAAAUUCUACAUAAGUUAUGCAAAAGUUUGUACGGAAAAUUAGAUUUUGUAUUGCUAAUUUUGUUAUAAC